AGAACUUCAUAAUAUGUGUUGAGAUGCUCAUUGCAGCCGUGGGUCAUCUCUAUGCAUUUCCCUACAAAGAGUAUGCUGGUGCAAAUAUUGGAGUUUCUCGUGGUUUAACUGGAAGCCUUGCCCAUGCAGUAAAAUUGAACGACUUCUACCAUGACACGGUUCACCAGGUGAAUCUUGCAAUAUGUGCUAAUUUCCUACUGAAAACUAGUGCUUUUGACAUGAAUCCUGUGCUGAUGAUGGUGACUGUCGUUUUGCUCUUGCAGUUUGCACCAACUUAUCAUGACUAUGUACUCUACAACCAUAACGAGGGUGAUGAAGGAACAAGGAAAUACAGGUCGCGUACUUUUGUGCCAACUGGCCCUGAGAUGGAUGCGGUAAGGAAAAACAAGCAUAUGCUUGGAAACAAACUGGAUGACAUACAACUCUCCAGUGUCUCGUCUUCUGGUACAAGCAGUCCCAAGCAGUCCAGCACUGCUCAAGAUCCCCAAAACCCAGAGACCAUGAAAUCUUCGCUGCUCAUGGAAACCUCCAAUUCUUACAACGUGCCGUAUGACAUGUCUCUCAUCGACAUGGACUUGUCCAGCUACCCUUCAAAGGUUCCUGCAGCAAAUGCAGGUGGGACAAGGUGACAAGAAACAUAAAAAAUCUGGGUAGGCAGAUAAGGGGAGUAUCACUACACGUGAAACUGAAAAAAUGGGGAAAAAGAGGGUUGUCAUGUUGUUAUCCCUGCAUAGAAGCAACCUUGUAUACUGAUAUUGUUUGGUGGUGUUGCUAUGAAUAUACUCUCUACUCUCUCAAAGUGUAUGAAGUCACUGAUACUAGGGUCUUAGGCUCUUUCUCCCUCAAGUGUCCACUCGAUUAGGGUUUUUCUACAAAUGGGCAAAUGGGGUUCCCUCACCCCCAACACAAGUGGAAGAAAAGAGAGAAAGUUGUCAUGUUGUGUUGUCAUCUGCACUGUAGCUUUAUACUGUCUGUCUCAUUUUUUGAGGAUCACCUUAUCAAACAUGGAAAUUCGGGUUUGUAAUUGAAAGAUAAGGUUUUAUUGGUAGACAUUAUUCUAUAUAUUACCAUUUCCCCCCCUUCUUUUUUCCACAUGAAUGUUGUCUAUUUUGAUAAAAUAGAGAGAUUCUUUAUUUCCCCUCAAACUUUUGUGAGAUUCAAAGAUGAAGCUGAUCUUACUGAUUGGAAUUAAUAAGGAGAGAAAAAAAAAAGGGCAAAUUAAGAGAAUAUAGACUCGCAUUUCACCCAGAGAGAAAAUCUUGGUUGUGGUCAAAGGCUAGUGGAGAUUGCAGACUAUGCUAAGUCGAUGACAGCACAACACUUGGACCAAAGCAGAAUAGAAACGAAACAUCAGUCAGCCAUUCACCUCCAAAUCAAAGACGGCAAAGACUUGCAACUUAUCAAUAGUGUUCUUCUAGAUAUAUGGCAUCAACAAUUCUUUCUCUUGCAUUUUCUUUGAACAUUUUAAUAAGCAUUUAUAUAUUUAACUUAAUAAUAUAGUUUUAAUUGUAAAAAAUUAAAGUCCAUUUAUUAUAGUCUUUUGAAAAUUAAUCAACAUUUAACAAAGGAAGAUUAAACCUUUUAUAAUAGGGGAAAUCAUGUAAUCAUAUAUCACCCAAAAAAAAGAAGAAGAGAUUUUUCAUUAUAAUCUUUUUUCAAAAUAAGGUAGUUAAGUUUGAUACGACUCACCAAUACAACUUGAACUCAACACGUUUUUCAUAGGUUUGGAUUAAAUAUAAUCGUAUUUACGUCAAAUUCCUGUUGUUGUACAUAAUUCCCUUAUUAAAUAGGUUAUUUCUUGAUCAACCCGCAUAAACAUAGACGAUUUAACCCAAAUUUGACUCAAAAAUUGAUUUUGAAUAAACAGGUGAAUAUAGAAAUAAAUGUGUUAGAUUGAGAGUUUAAUCAUUUUGACUCAAAUAAGACCUAAUUCCAUUUCAUUAUUAAUUAGAAUUGUAGACAUAAAAAAUUUAGUGGAUUAAAUUAUCACUAAAUUUAGUCAUCCUACAAAAAAUUGUAAUUUCAUGGUUCAACAAAAUUUAAGCUCAUUGGACAUAUGAUACAAAUUUGGAAGAUUAUGAAAUUAGGUUUCCAAGUAAAAAGAAAAAUAGAUAUUUUCUUAUAGAUUAGUUUCCUAAAACAUCUCUAACAAUAAAGAGGAUAAUAAUAAUAAUAUGAAAAAUAUAUUAUGAUUAUUAUUAUCUUGUUGGUAAAACUUGGGGAAGAAGAAAAAUUGUUAAAAUCAAGGAACUAAAUCCCUUGAAUUAAGCGACUGAAAUUCAGGAAUUUAAAAAUUCAAUUCCUUACCUUCAUUUAUAAAUAGAGGCGACUUCUUUCAAGAGGGGGGAGAAAUUCGGAGCUUGGGAAAAUCCAUAGGAAAUAAAAAAAUCCAAAUCAAGAAAAAAAAGAGAUUUGCAAAGUGAUUUUAUAUGGGAAAAGAGGCUUCACAGAAAGAAAGAGAGCUUCAUCAAAUCUCCCCACAAGUUUGGUAAAUGAAAAAAGGGCUAAACACACAUUUUUUGCCAUUCAAUAAGUUCAUUCGGGAAAAAGCUACUCUAGGCCCUCGAUCGAUCUUCAAAUCCAAGAAAACAAUUUCGUCAUCGUUCUUCAAGUUGUGGUCAAAAUGAAAGAAUCAGAAAGAUAUAUACUUUUAUAAAAGAAAAUUGCCAUAGAGAUUGUAUCCCACAAUAUUUUAAUUUUAAUAAAAUAUUUGUUCACAUUAUUUUUCCUUUGUUCGUAAUCUUUGUUGCCCAUUUCCCUUUAUUUCGUCGAAUGGUACGUAGACCUUACGCUUGAGUGUAUCAAUAGUUGGGACCAAAUGGAGCACGAAUUCCUCAACCGUUUCUAUGGCACCCGACGAAUUAUAAACAUGAUGAAGUUUACUAAUACUAAGCAAUGGAAAGAUAAGUUGAUCAUAGACUAUAUCAAUCGCUGGUGUUCCUUAAGCUUUGAUUGCAAAGAUAGAUUAUCCAAGGUGUUAGUUGUGGAGAUGCACGUAUAGGGAAUGCAUUGGGGUCUUUUGUACAUCCUCCAAUGGAUACAACCUCACACCUUUGAAGAGUUAGCUACUCGAGCACAUGACAUGGAACUUAGUAUUCCUAACCAUGGUGUUAAGAAGGACCUUAUUGUUGACCAACAAAGAGAGAGACAUGAUUGGAAAAAGGGUGAUAAGACCUUAAAGAAACCCGUCCAAGAGUCCAUGGUGGUAAAUAUGACUCUAAUACAAAUUUCAGCAGGAGAUAAAGAGAAAAAGGUAAAAGAGGCUAGACCAACCCAAGAAAAUGAGAGGUGUCAGUUCAUCUUAAAGGAAUUAGAGAAGAAGAAGUAUCAUUUUCCUAUCUUUGAUGUGCUUAACAUGUUGGAAGAUCUAUUCCAGAAAAAGUUUAUUGAGCUACCUGAGUGCAAACAUCCAAAAUAAAUGGGUAGUGUUAAUGAUCCGAACUACUGCCAUUACCAUCGAAUUAUUAGUCAUUCGAUGGAGAAAUGUUUCAGCUUAAAAGAUCUCAUAAUGAAAAUUUCAAAGUAAGGAAGAAUUCAUUUGGAUUUAGAUGAAGUAAUGGAGUCAAAUCAUGCUACAGUCACAUUUGGAUCCUUUGAUCCUGUUAUAUUACAUGUUUCACAUAAGAAAUUGGGGGCAUGUGCUAGUACUAUUCAAUGCAGGUCAUUGAAACUAAAGAAUACACAAGUGUCAUGUCAAGACAACCUUCUUUACCUUUGCUCUAAUGAUGAUUCAAUGUCAUCUAGUGAAUAAGGUUGGACAUUGGUGACACAAAUAAGGCCUCACAAGAAGCAAGUGUUUCAUCCAUACCCUCGCCCUCCUAGGAAGGGAUGACAAGAGUGGAAUACUCAUCAACAUCCAAAGAAAAAAAAAAUCCUAAAGGAAAACAAGUAGUUGUACAAGUAAAUGACUUCUUGGUAUAGAAACUCAUCACCUCUGUUACUUUAGGAGAAUACUUCCCUCAAGAGUUCUCCAAUAAAGGGAUGAUGACAUCAACUCACAUGGUCUCCUGUUAUGAGACUUCGGAAGAGGAUGAACCAAGUGAAGAUGAAUAAAAUGCUAUUGGUACAUAAUUGAGCAAAACCAAGGAAGAAUAUGUGGUAGUGGCAAGCCUAUAAUGCUUACCCUCGCUCUUUAGUAGCCAUGAGAUGCUACAACUUCCUAAUGAGAUAUAAAGUGCAUUGAUUCAAGCACUUAAGAAUCCAACACUCUAUGCCACCAAAAUAAAAAGGGCAAAAAGACUUGAGAAUGAAAGCUACAAUUAUGCCACAUGUUGUGCAACCAUCACCUUCACCGAGGAAGACCUUCAAUUAGGGUCAAAGCCACAUACUCGACCCCUAUUUGUUGCCGGGUACAUAAGAGAACAAAAUAUCACUUGUAUCUUGGUUGGCGGAUUUGCAGUAAAUAUAAAGUAAUGAUGAAAUGACUCAGGAUUGCUACGAAAGAGCUAACUUGAAGUUGCAUAAUAAUUCAAGGCUUUAAUCAAGGGGGACACCGAGCUAUUGGCAUAAUUCAUCUAGAACUUGUUAUAGGUGAGUUGAGUUUGAACACAUUGUUUCAUAUAAUUGAUGCAAAAACAUCUUACAGUGUGUAACUUAGGUGACCAUGACUUCAUAAGAAUGGAGUAGUUUUUUCAACACUACACCAGUGUUUCAAAUUCUAUAGAGGAGAUGUAAAGAAAGUAGAGGUUGAUACUAUGCUAUUUACAAAAGUCGAGUCUUAUUUCAUAGAUGCUAAAUUUUACAUAAAAAAUGAUGUCAUACAGGAAGUCAUCCUUACAAUCAUUCUCUCAACUAGAAAGGCUAAACUUAAGGGAAGAGUUGAGCAGUGUGAGCCGACACUAACAAGGGAAAUCUCAUAGCCAAUAGUAACUCGAAUCGAAGAAAAAAAGAAAUCCUAAAAAAAAUCAAUGUUGGACUCAAGAAGUGUCACUACUCCUCCAAUUUUUAGGUUCAUCCUGAGAUCUUAAUGAAGUGAGGGUCAACUACCUUUCAUAGAAAACAUAAGCGAAGUACAACCUUGAAGAUUAGAAAAUAAGGAUCUUCAUGUCUUGAAAGAAGAGACAAUUAUUCCCCUUCCAAACUUACAACUUAUCUUCAGGGAUGAGAUGCAAAAAUCCAUCAAAUCUUCAAGAGAUCAAAUAAAGUAAGGAUUAUUUCUUGAUAAAAAAAAUAGAUGAGGGGUUUAAUCCUUAGGCUCACAAGUUAUUAGCCAAUGUGGGGUAUGACUUCACUUUGUCAUCACAAUUAGGAGAACAUAGCCCCAAGACCAUAGUUGAAAAGAUGCAUGCCCUUAACGGAACUCAAAAGAAGUUAAAACAACAAGGGUAUGCAGUCAAACCUUCCAGGAUAGGUUAAAGGUUUGUACCUUCUGAGUCUAUCAAAAUUUUAGCUAAGGCUAAAAAGAUUAAGGCAAGUACAUAACAUAUCAUUGUGGAAGACAUGGAGGAGAGUAGUGGGUUAAAUUCUCCUCCUCAAAAUUCAGUGUUUGAUCAAAUUAAGACUUUAAUUACAUGAGCUUCAGUAUUCACUAGGUUGGGCAAUUUUAACCAAGUGGAAUGUAAUUCAACACAUAUUCCAAAAAGGUUAAUACAACAAAGGAUUAGGACUUUACCUCGAAAGUUGUGGUGACAAAAUCUCAAUUAGAAGAGGUGUAUUGAACUAAAGGAGGAUGCAGAGACAAUGAGUUUAAUCCCAUCAAGGAUGAUGUGCCAUUCAACUUGGGAAAUCUAUACUAAUGGUUCGUUAAAAUUAAAAUGACAUACCUUCAUGAUCACUGAGUGGUUGGACGAGGGAUACUUUAAGGAUGUUGAAGAAAGUUCGAUGCACACUAGCUACUAUGUUACAGUAGAAGUUGACUCUAAUUCAUAAUCUUUAGAAGACGAACCAAGGAAAGCACCUCAAGCAUUUGAGGAUGGGGGGCAAUCCAUUGUAGAUGAGUUAAAAGAGCUCAACUUGGGUACAAAUGGGGACCUAAGGUAAAUCUAUGUAAGGAUGCUUUUAAGUCAUUUUGAAGAGAAAAGUUAUAUUGAGUUGUUACUUGAUUUUGAAUGUCUUUCCAAGGUCAUAUAAAGAAAUGCUAGGUUUUGAUUUGAAAGUUGCAGUGCAUCAACUCAUGGUGAAGCAUGGUGUUUAACCGAUUAAGUAAGUCCAGAGAUGAUUUUGACCAAAACUUGUUUCACAAAUAGAAAUAGAAAUCAACAAACUGAUUGAACCUAGUUUCAUUAGGGAGGUAAAGUACUUGACAUGGAUUGUGAACAUCAUUCCAGUUAAGAAAAGGAACGGACAAAUCUGCGUUUAUGCAAAGAUUUAAAUAAUGCUUGCCCAAAAGAUGACUUCUCGUUACCAAUUAUCAAACUCAUGGUUGAUGCAACUACUAGUCAUGAAGCUUUAUCUUUCAUGGAUGGAUCAUCGGGGUAUAAUCAAAUAUGAAUGGCACCAAGGGAUGAAUAGCUUAUUGCAUUUCAUACUCCAAAGAGGAUUUAUUGUUACAAAGUGAUGCUUUUUGGACUAAAGAAUGUAUGUGUAACAUAUCAACGUGCCAUGCAAAGAAUCUUUGAUGACAUGCUUCAUAAGAAUAUUGAGUACUAUGUUGAAAAUCUAGUGAUAAAGUCUAAGAAAAGAGAAGACCACCUGCAAGAUCUUCGUAUGGUGUUUGAUAGGUUAAAAAGGUACUAACUCAAGAUGAACUCGCUUAAAUGUGCUUUUGGUGUUACUUUCGGUAAGUUUUUAGGGUUUAUUGUUCGACACGGUGACAAUGAAGUGGAUCAAUCCAAGAUUGCAAUCAUUCUAAAUAUGCCAAAGAUGAGGAAUCUUUAAGAGCUUAGAAUUCUCCAAAGACGUCUUGGUUUCAUUUGCGGUUUAUUUCAAACUUUGUAGGACGAUGUCAACCUUUCAACCGACUUAUGAAGAAUGUCCUAUUUGUUUGGGACAAAGCUUGUCAUAAUACCUUUGAGAGCAUAAAAAAGUAUUUGGCUAAUCCAACAAUCAUAGGUGCUCCUAUGGUGGGGAAGCCAUUGAUACUCUACAUUGCCGUACAAGAAUGCUCUCUUAGAGCAUUACUUGCACAAGAAAAUGAAGAGAAUAAAGAAAGUGCAUUGUAUUACUUAAGUCGAACUCUAACGCAGAACUAAAUUACUCCCUAAUAAAGAAGACUUGUCUUACUUUAAUCUUCUCGAAAAAAAAAGCUAAGACAUUAUAUGUAGACAUACAUAGUAGACUUAAUAGCACAUGCUGAUCCUAUUAAAUAUGUGCUAUCAAAGCCAAUUCUUUUAGGACAACUAACAUGAUGGGGCUUGCUACUCACUAAAUACGAAAUAAUCUAAAUCCCUCAAAAAGUAAUAAAAAGACAAACACUAGCAGACUUCUUGGUAGAUCAUCCUAUUCCUGCAACACUAGAAAUUUCAAACGACUUUCCUAAUUAAAAGAUCUUUUAUGUUGAGGUUUUUCCUUCGUGGAUGAUGUUUUUUAAUGGGUUAACACACUAUGAUGGAACAUGUGCAAGUGUUGCAUUUAUUUCACCACAAAGACAAAUACUACCAUAUUCAUUUGACAAAUACUACCAUAUUCAUUUGUUCUUAGUGAGCGAUGCUCCAACAAUGUUGCUGAAUACCAUGCCUUAAUUAUCGAGCUACAAAUGACGAUUGAAAUGAAAAUCACAAAAUUGGAGAUACGUGGGGAUUCUAAGUUGGUAAUCAAUCAACUUCUAGUCUUGUAUGAGGUUAAAAGUGAUGACUUGGUUCCUUACUUCCAAUAUGCUACCCAACUGAUGGAAAAGUUUGAGUGAAUCUCUUUAGUUUAUGUUCCACGAAAAGAAAACCAAAUGAUAGAUGCUCUAACUAAUUUAGCUGCAAGUUUGAUAUUGCUUAAGGAUGAGACUGUACACAUCCCUAUUUUCCAUAGGUGGGUACUGCCAUCAUUACCAAUAUUACAACAAGAAGAGGUGAACGCUACAUCGGUACUCAUUAUUAACAACGAAGAUUAGUGACAACCAUUAAUUGACUACUUCGAGCAUGAGAAGUUACCUGAUGAACUAAGGCGUUAAACAAAAAUACAAUAUUGAGGUCCAUGCUUCAUUUACUACAAAAAAAAACACUUUAUCGUGGCUCAUUCAAUGGGGUACUUCUUCGAUGCCUAGGAGAAUAAAAAACAAAUCAAGCAAUUGAAGAAGCUCAUUUUGGAAUUUGUGAGGCUCACCAAUCAGGGUCAAAGUAUUCAUUUUUGAAUCAAAAGGAUGAGUUACUAUUGGCCAACUAUGGUUAAGAAUUGCAUGGAAUAUGCUAAGAAGUGUUAAUCAUGCUAAUUCCAUUCAAAUUUUAUACACCAUCCCUUUGAGCCACUCCAUCUUUCAAUUGCGUUGUGACCAUUUGAUGUAUAGGGACUUGACAUGGUUGGACCCAUUACUCCUAAAUCCUUUGCUAGGUAUGCUUACAUAUUGGCAGUGAUAGAUUAUUUUUCUAAAUGAGCGGAAAUUGUGCCACUUAAAGAAGUGAAGAAAGAAACUGUAGUAAACUUCAUUUGAAGUAAUAUCAUCUAUUAGUACGGGGUACCAUGGUACAUAAUCACUGACAAUGAGAAACCCUUUUAUAAAAAAUUGAUGAGCAAUCUCUAUGAGAUGUUCGGUUUCAAACAACAUAAUUCAUCAAUGUACAAUGCAUCAACCAAUGGUCAUGCAGAAACAUUUAACAAGACUCUUUGCUAUUUAUUUAAGAACAUUAUUGAUAAGUCAAAGAGAGAUUGACAUGAACGAGUAGGAGAAACACUUUGGGCGUAUUGAACAACAUAUCCAAUGCCUACACAAAUGACCCUUUAUUCCUUUGUUUAUGGUAUAGAAGUUGUACUGCCCUUGAGCUUCAAAUAUCUUCAUUAAGGAUUGCCAUAAAUGAAAGACUAAUGAUGAAGAUAAUGCCAAGCUACGUCUUCAAGAGUUAGAAGCCCUAGACGAAAAGCGACUUGAAGAGUGUUAUCAAAUAUGCAUUUCAAGAGCUUUUAACAAAAAAGGUUCGUCUUUGUUCCUUUCAAGUUGGUGAUCUAGUUCUUAUCAUCCGUAGAUCCAUCAUCACCACACAUAAGACUAAGAACAAAUUUACAUCAAAAUAGGAUGGAUCUUAUGUGGUGCAAGAAGUUUACACCAAUGGUGAUUAUAAGAUUGUCGUUGAAGACAAAUUAAGAAUUGACUUUAUCAAUGACAAAUUCUUAAAGCAUUACUAUGCUUGAGUUACACUACACUCUUGACCCGUAUGAGCUAAAAUUGUGUAUGACGCAAAAUAAAAAGAAAGAAAGAAAAGUUCGCUAAGUUGAAAACCUAAAAAGAGGACUUAGGCAAAAAUUAGGAUAUAUGUUCGCAAGAUUAAAAUUUUCUUUUAGUCUUGGUAAAAGUUAGAGUGUAUAAAAAAACAAAUGUCUGCUAAGUUGAAAACUUGAAAAGAUGACUUAGGUAAAAGUUAAAAUAUAUGCUUACAAGAUUAAUUUUUUCUUUUAGCCUUGGCAAAAGUUAGUAUAAAAAAAAAAAAAAAGAUUCGCUAAGUUGAAAAACUUGAAAAGGCAACUUAGGCAAAAGUCAAGAAUUAUGCUUGCAAGAUUAAAAUUUUAUUUUAUUCUUGACAAAAGUUAGAGUGAAAAUAAAAAUAAAAAUGAUUGACCUACGUUUGACUUGAUCUCCUUUCUUUGAGUAUGUAGGCAACUUGGGGAAACUACCCAAGUUUAGUCAUAACUAUUAAAAAAAAAAUUGUAUCAAGUGAGGGCUCAAUUUUAAUUAAGUGCUCAAAGUACAAUAAUGUGCAGCUUCAAGGAUAUGACUUGCCCACAUGGGUGUUAAGUGUAAUUCCAAUUUCAAUUAAGUUUUGAGAAGUUGGACAUCACUACAUCACUACACAUCCAAGUCAAACCAAUUCACAUGAGUGAGGACCUUAGCACUUAAGCCGCAUUAAGUGUUGAAAGUAUAACACCGCGUAGCAUCACGGCCAUAACUUGUUUGCAUAGGUGUCAAAUAUUAUUAUUGUUUUAAUUAAAUGUUAAAACUUGAAUACCACUAUGCAUUUAAGUUAGACCAAUUUUUAUGAGUGAAUACGUUAGUACUUAAGACACAUUAAGUGUUGAAAGUAUAACACUGUGUAGCAUCAGGGCCAUAACUUGUUUGCAUAGGUGUCAAAUAUUAUUUUGGUUUUAAUUAAAUGUUAAAACUUGAAUACCAUUAUACAUUCAAGUUAAGUCAAUUUGUAUCGGUGAAGACUUGAGUACAUAAGUACCAAAAAUAGAACACCGUGUAACAUCAGAGUCAUAACUUAUUUGCAUAGGUGUAAAAUAUUAUUAUGGUUUUAAUUAAAUGUUAAAACUCGAAUACCACUAUGCAUUCAAGUCAAGCCAAUUUGCAUGGGUGAAAACUUUAGUAUAUAAGUGUAAAAAAUAUGACACUGCUUCACGUUAGGGCUACAACUUGAUUAUAUGAGGGUCAAAUUUUAAAUACUCAUAAUGUCUUUUAUUUUAUAUAUAUAUAUAUUUUAUGGAUAUUUAAGUUUACCAAAGAAAUCCCCUCUCAAGUAUUAAGGUAAUUUUUUGAAAAAAAAGAACCUGAAAUCAAAUUUGUCUCUACAAACAGUGAAAAUCAAUGCACAUUUAGGAACGAUGAGUCUUUUUUUCUUCCUUAAAAAAUAAAAAUAAAUAAAGGUCACGUGUAAUUUAUAUAUAUAUAUAUAUAUAUAUAUAUAUAUAUAUAUGAAAACAGGAAUUAUGCCAUGAUUCAAAACAAAGAAAAGGGUUAGAAAUCCAACAAAAUAAAUAACCAAAGAAAUUUAAAAGGAGAAGGAACCACAAAUUUUUUAGUUUAUAAAUAUAAAACCAUCCAUGAUAGGAGGUAAACUGGAAACAUAAAACAAACCAUCCAUGAUAGGAGGUAAACUUAAAAUAAACUUGAAAAUUUACAUAAUUUAAAGACCAUCCAUCAUAGGAGGUAAAUCUUAAAACAUAGAAUACAUGAGGAGAAAUAUCUUACAAUGGGAGGAAAGCUUUGAAGAAAGCUUGGGGCUUGAAGGGCUUACAUAUUGAGAGAGAAAGAAGAAAGAAGGGAGAACAUAAGCUUGGGAGAGAUUGCAGAUCUAAAAUUCUAGCCCCUUACAAAUGAGGAUCAAGCCUCCUUAAAUAGCCAAAAAGAGGGGACAAAGCACUGUUUGCUUUUUGACUAACUGCCAUGAAUAGUAAUCUCGUGCAUGAAUAGUGAAUAGUGAAUAGUAAAAAUCACUUUUCCACCGAAUUCCACAGAAAAACCCACUUUCGGCUGAGAAGACUUUCGACAGGCUGCUUUAGACUGUGUAGUCACAUGCUUGCUGCUUUUGGUGCUGAAACUGCAAAGCUAUAAAAUAUUCUUGAUGGAAGACAUAAGGCUGAUGAUUACUUAGAUCUUCUUAUUGGAGGAAGGAUUCCUUCACAGUCGUCACCAUUGUCUGGAAGGUAGCUUGUUGAAUCAUCAGAUUCUGCAUAAGAAUUUUCUUGGGAGAAACUUGAGCUUCCAUCUUCAAGGAUUUUCUGGAAAUCUUGAGGGGUCUUAGCUGCUGCGAGCAUGGCUUGUAACUGUUGCUUUUUGAGGAGAAACUGAGACAUAUCAUCACUGGCUGAGACUUGUGUGGGGUUCUUGAGGAAAUACUGCUAAACUGCAUCAAUAGAUGCAUCAUUUUUCAAGGCAUCCCACCAUUUAGUUUUAAAAGUCCUUCCCAGAGAUGGAAAGACUGUUGAUUCAUCUGUAAAUGAUAAUAUAGUCCCACUGGACUAUCCAAGCAAUGCCAAAUUUGCUGAAAAAGAAUAGUAAAGGGGGAAAAGUUGAAAGUUCUCUGGGGAUAUCAAAAGAACUUCUGAAUAGCUCAAAACCAUCCAGGAUGGGCUUAGGAAGAAUCUUAAUUGUCGGACCAUAAUAAGUCCACCAACUGUAGAACCAAAAUGGGAAAGAGGAAAGCUGAUUCUUUGAUGAAAAAUAGAACAUCCAUGAAUGAUGGAAGUCCCUAUUCUGGAUAAAAAAAGCAUUAAACCAUGCUCUAUGAUAAUCCCAAUAAUUAAAAAACCUUGGCUUUGAUGGUUUAGAAAAUUCCCUUAAAAGAUUAGGAUUUCCACCCCAUUGCUUGACAGUAAGAAUCUUAUAGAUAUGGCAGGUGGAGAAUGCCAAGUCCAUAUUGCUGAAUUUAUCAGCGUUAUGCUUAAUUUUAACAUAACCAGUUUCUGUAAGGACUGUUUCAUAAAACUCUCUUGUUUUUAAAAUAUUACCAGAGGGAUAAUGAAAAUUUUCUUGAAAAGCUUUUGCAGCAAUCUCUCUGGGUUUUCAAAGAAAAAUUCUCUUUCAAUAACCAAAAGAGGUUGAUUUAAAUCAUUUUGCCAAUAUCUUGAUUUUGUUGAAAGAGGUGUGGGGUUGGCAGCCACCACAAUUUGCUUGUUUGAAAAAGAGGAGCUUGAUGCUAAUUUCUUUUGAGAGGGAUUAGCCUUAGUGACUUGCUUGAAGGUCUGGGACCCUGAAAUGGCUGGGUACUGGGUGGCCUUGACUGGAUUGGUUGGAUGAGAAUGAUCAUAGUACAAGGUCAUCAUCUUGUUAGGCAUAGGAUUAGAAGAAUGAAGCCUUGCUUCUUCUUCUUCAACUUGUUGGCUCCAUAGUAUUUUAUGGGGAGAAGGAGCUUGACUGGAUUGGGUUUUCUAGUUAGGAGCUUGGGUAUUAAAUGAUUUAGAUGAUUGGAAGUUACCUAAGGUGUCUAAUAAAGAAAUUUAUAAGAAAGGAACCUUUAAGUUCUUCACAGAUUAUACCAUCAAGACCUCUGAAAUUUCAGUCAGCUUAGAACAAGAUGACCAAGUCAUAAGACUUCUAGAAAACAAGUCCAUUGAAAAGCAUAAGAAAGAUGGCUAUAAUUUCAUACACUUUGGUAUGAUUCAAGUAGUAGCUAAGCCUUUGACAAGAUUAGGGUUAAACACCUCUAUUGUCAUGUGUUUAAGGGAUAAUAGGCAUCUCGAAUAUCGAGAUUCUAUUAUAGGCGUAGUCCAAGCUGGACUGAAUGAUGGUCCAGUUUAUUUCUAGUGUUAUCCUAACUUCAUAGUUAGAAUAAGAGAUGGAGACAUCUUAGAUUCUGUUGUCCUGCAUAUUAAGACCCAUGACUUUAAGAUCAAACCAGGAAACAGUCCUGUUUCAAUCAGAACCAGGUUUGCCUAUAAGAGCAUGAACACAAGCGUUGGAUCUGGGGCUCUUUGCACCAGUCCUAAGGGUGAGACCACUUACUUUCACUCAGAUAUGCUAGAUAAGUCAGAUUUCAUCAUUCCCAAGAAGAUCUUGUGGAAAGAUGUUGAGUUUCCUGGCUCUGAUACCAUAGACACCCAGGACAAGGUCAUAUGCAAUGAAAACAGUAAUUAUGCCAUGAUUCAAAACAAAGAAAAGGGUUAGAAAUCCAACAAAAUAAAUAACCAAAGAAAUUUAAAAAGAGAAGGAACCACAAAUUUUUUAGUUCAUAAAUAUAACACCAUCCAUGAUAGGAGGUAAACUGGAAACAUAAAACAAACCAUCCAUGAUAGGAGGUAAACUUAAAAUAAACUUGAAAAUUUACAUAAUUUAAAGAUCAUCCAUCAUAGGAGGUAAAUCUUAAAACAUAGAAUACAUAAGGAGAAAUAUCUUACAAUGGGAGGAAAGCUUUGAAGAAAGCUUGGGGCUUGAAGGGCUUACAUAUUGAGAGAGAAAGAAGAGAGAAGAGAGAACAUGAGCUUGGGAGAGAUUUAUAUAUAUAUAUAUAUAUAUGUUAGUGAUCAAUGAUGAAAAUAUAGGCAAUUACAGAUUUAUUGGUACUUCCAUUUUUAAGAUAUAUCGAAGAAUAUUUUGACAUGAAAUAUCAAUGAACCUAAGAUUGAUAAGAACUUAUAAAAAUUAAGAAAAAACUCUUAAAAAUAAAAUUAGAAGUAUAAUAGAUAUUUUAAAAUUGUUUUGUUCAAAAAAUUGAUACAUGCAUGAUAUAAUUUAUCAUAUUUGAUAAUAAUAUUGUAUGCAUCGAUAAAAAAUAUGAAUUUUAUAAGUAUACAUUUAUUAUUAAAUUAUAUCAAAUAUUAUUCUACAAUAAUACUGUGAUAUUUGAUUAUAAUUUGUCUAAUUCAAAAAUAUAUUUAAUAUUAAAAUUAUAACCCAUUUAAUUCAAUUGUAUUAUAUGAUAUAAAAUAAAUGAUGAUAUAUGUAUAAUUUAUAAUAUUUAAUUAAUAUAUUAAUGAUAUUAAAAACACUAUGAAGAAAAUUAUCAUGAUAAUUUUUAUAUUUUUGGUAAUCAAUUAAAUGAAAAAAUUUCAUUUAAUUAUAAAAUAAUUAUAGUUAAUUUGUUCUUUAAAACAUUCUUUUAAUAUUAUGUUUAUAUGAUGAGUUUUAGUCUAUAUAUAUUUGAUGCAACAUGUAUAACAAAGGGUAAGCUUACUCUAGUGGUUGGCUUGGUUGCAUGGUGAACCUUUUGACUAGGGUUCUACUUCUCUUAGUAGUAGAAAAUUUAAUAAAAUUUUGAAGUUUGACCACACCACUUCGCUUGCAUUAACUACCUAAGAAAUUCCCAAUAAAUUACCAAAAUAUUGGUAUCUUGAUAUUUCUUUCCUAUAUAUUGUGUCGAGGUCCAUCGAAAUUUGGUAUUUCAGCAAUAUGUUGUCGAAAUAUCACAAUAUUUUAAUCAUUGCCAGUGAGGACGUCUCCCAAGGCAACCACCAUUGUGGCUCAUGUCUCUAUUGACUUCGACAUGCACCUACUGAAGCUCCACUAUAUAUAUAUAUAUAUAUAUAUAGAUAGAUAGAUAGAUAGAUAGAUAUGUAGCCAAAAUAUCGCUAUAUUUUAAUCAUUGCCACUGAUGACGUCUCCCAAGGCAACCGCCAUUGUAGCUCAGGUCUCCAUUGACUUCGGCAUGCACCCAUUGAAGCUCCAAUAUAUAAAUAUAUACAACCAUCAUUGUAGCUCAAUGUCCCACUAAAGCUACCACUGAUGAGUCCUCCAAGGCAACCACCAUUGUGGCUCAAUGCCCCACUAAAGCUCCAAUAUAUAUAUAAAACAUAAAACACUACAAAAAAAAAAAAAAAAAAUCCUUACAGGUUUGGAAAGGUGAAGACUUCUCAUGGAGAAUUCAAAUUGAGUUUCUCAAAUUGGUUUGGUGAAAGUCCAAAGAUGAAAAGAGUUUUUCGAAAAAAGUUUAAACUAGAAGAGGAUUCACAGUGUAAAAUAAGAAAGAAAAUGAAGUGGAGUUUGGAAAAAGUGGGAAAAAGAUAUUUUUAAAAUAGGAAACUUCCUAUUAAAAUAUUUCUUUGAAAAAAAAAAAACGAGGUUAACUUCAAGACCCACCCCAUGCACAUGAUAAUUCAUGUACGUGAUGCGUCUUGAAGUGGGGGCAUUUGUAGACUUAAAUAAUUUAGUGAAUUAAAUUACCACUAAAUUUAGUCUUUCUAAAAAAAAAAAAAUUGUAAUUUCAUGGUUCAACAAAAUUUGGGCUCAUUGGACAUGUGGUACAAAUUUGGAAGAUUAUGAAAUUAGGUCUCCAAGUCAAAAGAGAAUUUAAAAAAUAGAUAUUCUCUUAUAGAUAAGUUUUCUAAAAAAAGUAACCUAAUCUUCAACUAUAAAAAACGAUAAUAAUAAUAAUAAGAAAAAUGUAUUAUUAUCUUGUUGGUAAAACUUGCAGAAGAAGGAAAGCUGUUAAAAUCAAGGAACUAAAUAUCUUGAAUUAAGCAACUAAAAUUUGAGAAUGUAAAAAUUCAAUUCCUUAACUUCACCUAUAAAUAGAGGUGACUUUUUUCAAGAAGGGGGAGAAAUUUAUAAAUCAAGAAAAUUUAGAGGAAAUCAAGAAAAUCCAAGAAAAAAAAAAAUGAGAUCUGGAAAGUGACUUCGUAAGGGAAAAGAUGCAUCACAAAAAGAAAAUGAGUUUCAUUAAAUCUCUAUACAAGUUUAGUAAGUGACAUAAGGGUUACACACACGUUCUUUGUCAUUCAACAAGUUCAUUCGAGAAAAAGCUAUUAUAGGCCCUCGAUCGUUCUUCAAGUUGAGCUUAAAAUGAAAGAAUCAGAGGGAUAUAUUCUUUUAUAAAAGAAUAUUGCCAUAGAGAUUGUACCCCACAAUAUUUUUAUUUUAAUAAAAUUUUGUUUGCAUUAUUUUUCUUAUUGUUUUGCUAAUUUUGUAGGACUUUUAUGAAAUUUGUGCGUUCAAGAAUAUCAUUAUUAAACUAAUUAUACAAUAUUUAAUUUAUUUAAUAUAAAUUUGUAUUUUUAACUUGGGUUUGGGUUCACUUAUUUAAUUGAGUGCCUGAAUUUUGCAGGAUUCUCACCCCUGACUGUGGGCACUCAAUAGAAAUCAAAACAUAUUAAACUAAACCAUCAUUCAUUUGAGAUAUUAAACUUGGGGUUUUCGUGGGGGGUCUUAUUUGAUAAUGGAUAUACUUCUUUUAGGAGGACACUUGUCCCAUUGUCAAUAGAAUUCAAUGAACAUGAAUACACAACCUCAUACUGCAAACCAAUACUGAAAAUGUCAAAACCCCAUCUAGCUAUGCCCCAUUUUCGUCCACUCAACAUGGUGGUGGUGAAGCCAACAAGUCAAAAAAGACUGCAUGUGACAACCCAACUCCUCGCACCUAUAUAUAAUAAACCCAUCUGAAGGAACAACUUAGCAAAGAGGUAAGAGUGAUCGGAGAGCCAUGACUUUGUCACACCAUCUUCUUCUUCUUGGAGUGCUCUCUCUAUGGCAUUGCAGUGCAGAUUCUGCAGACCCUUUAGGGGUUUUCUGCAACAAAGACACUAACAUUGGGAGUGGGAACGCAUCAGCCGACUUUGAUGACUUGUCGGUUCAAUUGGUCUCAAAAGCUUCCACAAAUGGCUUCGUUGCUAUCUCCUUUGGUAGUGGUCAAUACUUAGUCCACGGCUUGGCACAAUGCAGAGGAGAUGUGGGCAAGGAGGGCUGCUCAACUUGUAUUCAAGAUGCUGCAAAGCAGAUUCGUACGCGUUGUCCAAACAAGGCCGACGCCAGGAUUUUGUUUGAUUACUGCUUUCUAAGGUAUUAUUAAGCUAUCGGUUUAAUCCCCAAUACUUAAAUCAGUUAUAUAUUUUUUGAGUUCCCAUUAUUUAUUCCAUCCCAUUUAUUUGUAUCUUUAUCUCACAGUGUAGAUGUCACCGUAGAUAACAUUUACAACAGUGUAGGAAACACUUCUACUAAAAAAUGUUUUGAAAAAAUAUUAGUUGUUUUGAUAAAAUUUAGAAAACAUUUUUAAAAAUCUGAAAAAUCACUUAUGGUGUUUUCUAGAAAAACAUUUGAUAAGUGCACUAACGGAGUACCCCUGAAAAUAUUAAAACAAAAAAACAAAAAAACUACAUUGCUUGCAAUAGUAGGACUCAAUCCCAAGACUGUUAUUGCUCCCCCAACAAUGACAACCCUGGACCAUUGGGUUAAAGCUCGCUCGGAGCUAAACUGCUGGCUGUGCCACAUUCUUUUAAAAAUACUUAGAUAAAAUAAUUCCAUUAAAAACACGAAUGUAUUUAACAGUGAUUUUUGAAAGUGUUUUUAACUUUUCUAAUACUUGAAAAAUAAAUAUUUUCAAGCUUUAGAAAGAGUAAAUACAUUUAUUAAAAUUACUGUAAAAACACACUCUUAAUCAUGAAACAUCAACCGAACGCAUUCUAAUGACAGUGGCGUUCACUUGUACAGGUACAGCGACAAAGACUUCAUAGGGAAAGUUGACACGGGCUUUGGGAUUUUCUUGCGCCAUGGGGCUAAGGUAACUGAAACGGAACGGUUUAAUGAGGAAUUAGGCAAGCUGAUGGAGAAGAUCAGAUCGCAGGCUGUUGAACCCCAGAACGCAGGGCUGGGUAAAGGCCAGACAAAGCUCACACCCUUCGUCACACUCUACGCCUUGGUGCAAUGCACACGGGAUCUGUCGCCAUUGUCCUGCGCCCAAUGCCUGGCCAUUGCUGUUGGCAAUUUCUCCGACUUCUGCUACAACAUGAAGGGUUGCCGCGUUUUGUAUAGCAGUUGUUAUGCUCGCUACGAGCUUUAUCCAGUCUCCUUCCGUCUCGGCUCUGCCCUAAUGUUUUCUAAUACUCAGAAGGUUUAUCCAUAGAUUUAGGCCAUGCCAACAUCAGCGGUUCGUCAUGCCUAAGAAAAGGAUAUAUGCAGAACUUUUGUCCUAUUUUGUAGCUUUGCAUGCAUGUGAAUCUUCUCUUUUAAGCCUUUAAUGCUAUAAGCUUGGUUUCUAAAUACAAAAUAAUGUCUGCACCAAAUUUUUAACCAAUCAAGUCUAAUUUUUUUUUUUUUCAAAAUUUUAAUUUUGCUGGGUUACAUGUACACAUUAAUUGAUAGAGAUAAUUUCAACUUAAGAUAGGGAAAAUUAUUUAGUCAAAUUCCAACUCCAAUAAAAUUCAGUGAUAAUAAUAAAUCAAAUACUAUAUUAAUCGGAUAAAAGAUAAGGAUUAGAAAAGCUAGAUCGAGGUAGGCGGGUGUAUACCUUCUUUUAUACAAAGUUGAUCAACGUUCUUCUACCGCGAUAUGAUGAUCUUCAAGAAUAAAAUUAUUAUAAAAAAUUUAAUUCCAUGAAACAAGUAUUCACUCUCGCUCAACCAACAAAAAAGAAGAAGUGUUGUCAUAACAAAAUUCUUCUUCUCAUUUAACUUAGAGUUGCAUUUUCCAAAAUAUACAAAUUUUCAAUUUGUUUAUUAAUGUAUAAAAAAUGGAAGAAAAAAAGAAGAAGAAAAUGAAAAAAAUGAAAUUGUGAUAUAUAUAUAAAACACAAUUGAGUAUAAUUAUUGUGCAAUAGGUGUAGGUGUCUUUCGGACUUGAACCUACAUUUAGUGUAAGUAAUUUUCUAUCUAGAAAAACUAUAAUGAACUAAAUCUUGAAUUGUGUUCUUCAAUUCGGUUUUCUUAUUACUACACAUAGUAAGAGUGGUUAAUUUGGUUUUAUUCGGUUUUGUGUUUUUUCAGUCAUGCCCACAUAUCUUGUUUUAUAGGUGUUUUUAGGGAUUAGCUAAACUUCCCAUAGUAGCAACCACUCUACUACGCCUACAUAGGUGAGUAUUCCAAGGAUGAUUUGUGAUCAACAUCCUAUAGAAAUCCUACCUUGACCUCAUUCAGAGCGAUUCUCUUCUUAAAAUACUAUCAGAAGAAUAAACACUAUCAUCAUAGGAAUGAGACUAGAGAAUUUCCCAAAUUAUUGUUUCAUCUAAUCAUCCGAUAGCUUCAUUAUUACCUAUUGAACCUUCUUCAUGGGAUCUCCAAUCAUAAAGGUUGGAUGUUAAUCAUGAUGACUAACUUAUGGGCUUUAGUUCCAUUCCCCUUCAUGAUUCUAUUAUUAUUUUAUCAGCUAAUCCUUUGGUUAAACAAUCUAUAGUAUUCUUUUAAGUUUUUACAAUAGAUAUGACUAUGUAUUGCUUAUAUCCAAAUUAAACAUAGCAUCUAAGGAAUUCAUUAUUUCAUCAUGUCUUAGGAUCAUUUUCAACUAAGAAUGUGAAAAAUUCAACAUCACAAAGCUUUUCAAUUCUUCCUUUUUUACUUCUUAGAUUGGAGCUUUCUUGAUUUUUUUUUUAAACUUUAAAUUUGAAGUAAUUUCUAUAAUAGAGUUAGAAUUUGAGUCUCUUACUAAUUAGGAUAACUUAUUUUUCGUAGGGAAGAUAUGUUUAAAAAUGUAGCGUCACAUGACUAUAAAAUAGAAUUAUUAAAUUUCAAAAUUUAACACUAGAAAUAUGUAAGUCACUAUUUAAAGAAUAUCUAAUGAAUAUAGAGUCUAUAGUUUUUGGACCUAAUUUUUCUUUUUAUUUAUUGGAAUAUUUACUUUAGUUAGACACCUCCACUUUUUUUUUUUUUUUUUUUUUUAAAUAUUUUAGGUUAGAUGUUUGAUUUUUUCGAAUUUCAUAUGGUGUUUUUUUUUUCUUAAACUUUUAUAAGAAACUUUGUUAAGAAUGUGAAACAGAAUAUAAGGCUUCACCCUAUAAAUUGUUUUGUAAAUUUGAAUUAGUCAACAUAACAUUUACCAUAUUUGACGUAAUAGAGCGAUGCUCCAACAACGUCGUUGAAUACCAAGCCUUAAUUAUUUGCUUACAAAUGGUGAUCAAAAUGAAAAUAAAAAACUUGGAGAUAUGUGGGGAUUCUAAGUAGGUAAUCAAUCAACUUCUAGCCUUGCAUGAGGUUAAAAGCAAUGACUUGGUUCCUUACUUCCAAAAUGCUACCCAACUGAUGGAAAAGUUUGUGUGAAUCUCUUUAGUUCAUAUUCCAUGAAAAGAAAACCAAAUGGUAGAUGCUUUAACUAAUUUAUCUACAAGUUUGACAUUGCUUAAGGAUGAGACUGUACAUGUCCUUAUUUGACGUAGGUGGGUAUUGCCAUCAUUACCAAUAUUACAACAAGAAGAGGUGAACGCUACAUCGAUACUCACUAUUGACAACGAAGAUUAGUGACAACCAUUAAUUGACUACUUAGAGCAUGAGAAGUUACCUGAUGAACUAAGGCGUCGAAUAGAAAUACGAUGUCGAGCUCUGCACUUCAUUUACUACAAAGAAACACUCUAUCGUUGCUCAUUCAAUGGAGUACUUCUUUGAUGCCUAGGAUAAGAAGAGACAAAUCAAGAAAUUGAAGAAGAACAUUUCAGAAUGAGUGGGGCUCACCAAUUAGGGCCAAAACUCCAUUUUUGAAUCAAAAUAAUGGGUUACUAUUGGCCAACAAUGGUUAAGGAUUGCAUGGAAUAUCAUAAGAAAUGUCAAUCAUGCCAAUUCCAUUCAAAUUUUAUACACCAACCCUGUGAGCCACUCCAUCUUACAAUUUUGUUGUGGCCAUUUAAUGCAUGGGGACUUGACGUGGUUGGACCCAUUACUCCUAAAUUCUUUGCUAGGCAUGCUUACAUAUUGGCAAUGAUAGAUUAUGUUUCUAAAUGAGCAAACAUUGUGCCAUUUAAAGAAGUGAAGAAAGAAAUUGUAGUGAAUUAACUUCAUUCAAAGUAAUAUCAUCUAUUGGUAUGGGGUACCAUGAUACAUAAUCACUAAUAAUGGAAAACCCUUUUAUAACAAAUUGAUGAGCAAUCUCUGUGAGAGGUUUGAUUUCAAACAAUACAAUUCAUCAAUGUAAAAUGCACCGACCAAUGGUCUUGUAGAAUCAUUUAACACCCUUUUCUAUUUAUUUAAGAAAAUUUUUGAUAAGUCAAAGAGGGAUUGACAUGAACGAGUAGGAGAAGCACUUUGGGCAUAUCAAACAACAUAUCAAAUGCCUACAUAAGCAACUAUUUAUUCCCUCCUUAUUAUGUAGAAGUUGUACUACUUGAGCGUUAGAUCCCUUCGUUAAGGAUUGCCAUACAUGAAUGACUAAUUGAUGAAGAUAAUGUCAAACUACAUUUUCAAGAGUUAGAAGCACUAGAUGAAAAGCAACUUGAAGCCCAACAACACUUAAGAGUGUUAUCAAGCACAUCUUUUAAGAGCUUUUAACAAAAAUGUUGGCCUUUGGCACUUUCAAGUUGGUGAUCUAGUUCUCACCAUCUGUAGACCCAUCAUCACCACACAUAGGAAUGGAAACAAAUUUACAUAAAAAUGGGAUGGAUCUUAUUUGGUGCAAAAAUUUUACAACAAUGGUUCUUAUAAGAUUGUUGUUGAAGAUAGAUUAAGCAUUGACUCUAUCAUUGGCAAAUUCUUAAAGCAUUACUAUGCUUGAGUUACACUAUGCUUCUGGCUUACAUGAGCUUAAACCACGUAAGAUAGAAAAAAAAAAAAAAGGUUCAUUAAAUUGAAAAUCUAAAAAUGCGACUUAGGCAAAAAUUAGGAUAUAUGCUCGCAAGAUUAAAAUUUUCUUUUAGUCUUGGCAAAAGUUAGAGUGUAUAAAAAAAAUGUUCGCUAAGUUGAAAACCUGAAAAGACGACUGUGAAACCAAGGAUUGGUUAAUCUUGAUUUUGAUGAUAACAAAACAAGGUUUAGAACUAAUGAUCAUAUUUCAAGUGUGAUUAGGCAAGACGAUUUCCAAAGUGGCAAUCCAAAGACAAAUCAAGCCAAGGAGAAAUCAUGAAGAAGAAGACCACCUCAAAGAUAAGAGUUUUUCAAGACCAAAGCUUCUUAAGAUCUCUUUGUAAGGUUGUUGGUGCACUAGGACUUUCAUGCAUUUCAUUCUUUAUUUAUGCACCAAAAUCAUCCAAGAGUAAUAUUGUUUUAAAUAUCUUAAGAAUUGGAUGAUUUCAUGUUUUCAACUAAAACUUUGUGUUAAAUGAUUUUCAAACUUGUGUUAAAAGGUUUUAAGUUGAAAAAGGUUGAGUGUUGAGCCGAAAAAAUGGCUCAACCGGUUCAACCAGUCGAUCGGUCGAGGACCGGUUGAGGGAGGCUAAAAAGUUUCUCUCUCUCCUAGUGGCAUUCUCUUCUUGGUCGAGGUCCAGUUGAGGUCCGGUUGAGGCCCAACGGUCACUUUUCCUAACGGCUAGUCAACUGGUCGACCCCUAGCUCGACCGGACGAACCUCCAACGACUAGUUUGGUUUUUUUCUUCUAUAAAAAGGCUCCAGACUUCAUUGUUUCACAAGCUUAACCUUCCCAAAUCAUUCUUGAAUAUAUUUGAGCCUUGGAAGAGUGUUUUUUGAGUACACCAUUGUUUCAUAACUUGCAUAUCUUUAGUGCACCAUUCAAUCCUAGUUUCUCUUGUAUCAUUUGAGCCUAAAGUUCUAUUACUAGGAUUUUUGUGAGAUCAAUCUUUGUAUUUCUUUGAGAGGAAUUUUCUCAAGUGAAGGAUAUCACUUGAGAGGUUGUUCAAGAGUGGGAUAACUCUUGAAGAAGUGUAAAGGGUGCUUGGUGCCAAAAGUCCAAGAGGGUGAAUUGUAACCAUAAUCCAAUUGUAAAGAGAUUGGAAGCUUGGUUGAAGCUUCAAGAUAGUGGAACCCUCACUCGGUUAGGAGGUUGAGGAGAGUGGAUGUAGACAAGGAAGUGUCGAACCACUAUAAACUCUCUUGUUUGCACUCUUUCUUCCCUAACUCUUUUAAAUUAUAUGUAAUUGUGUUCAUUUUGUUUAUUAUAUAUUUGCAUAUAAUUGUCUCUUAUUUUUGCAUAGUUUAAAUUUGUGAAAAGGAGACCAUCACCCUAUUUACCCUCCCUCUAGGGUGAUUACCAUAGUUUGGAUUAGCCUCAAAUUCCUAGCAACGACUAAGAUAAAAUUUAAGAUAUAUACAUACAAGAUUAAAUUUUUCUUUUAGCCUUGGCAAAAGUUAGAGCGUAUAAAAAAAAAAAAAAAAGAUUCGCUAAGUUGAAAAACCUGAAAAAGACGACUUAGGCAAAAGUCAGGACUUAUGCUUGCAAGAUUAAAAUUUUCUUUUAGUCUUGAAAAAAUUUAGAGUGAAAAAAAAAUGAUUGAACUACGUUUGACUUGAUUUCAUCUAUUUGAAGAGUACAUAGACAACUUGGGAAAACUACUUGACUUCACUUAUCACUAUUAAAAAGAAAAUGUGUAUCAAGUGAGGGAUCAAUUUUAAUUAAGUGCUGACAGUACAAUACUAUGGAGCUUCAAGGUUAUGACUUGCUCAUAUGGGUAUUAAGUGUAAUUUUAAUUUCAAUUAAGUUUUGAGAAGUUGGACAUCACUACGCAUCCAAGUCAAACCAAUUUGCAUGAGUGAAUACUUUAACACUUAAACUGCAUUAAGUGUCGAAAGUACAACACCGCUUAGCAUCAACCCCAUAACUUGUUUGCAUAGGUGUCAAAUAUUAUUAUGGUUUUAAUUAAAUGUUAAACUUGAAUACCACUAUAUGCAUUUAAGUCAUACCAAUUCACAUGAGUGAAGACCUUACUACCAGGGAUGAAAAUGUCACGUUAUAUCGGCGAAAUAUCACCGAUAUAUUGUGUAUCGGUAACCAUGAUAUUCCAUUAAAAUAACCAUUUUUUGUCGAUAUAUUGAUAUGUUAGAAAUAUUUGGCUAAUCCAACCUAUGGUAAUCACCCUAAAGGGGAGGGAGGGGGGGGGGGGGGGGGGGGGGAAAAAAGGGAAAUUGGGGAAGGGCCCCUUUUUCCAAAUUUAAACAUUGGAAAAAAAAAAAAAAUUUUUGCCAAAUUUUAAAAAAACAAAAAAAAAAAAUUUUUUUUAAAUUUAAAAAAUAGGGGAAAAAAAAAGCCACCCCCAAAAUUUUUUGGGGUUUGGGGGAACCCCGCCCUAAACCCCUCCCCCCUAAGUUUAAUCCCAAAAUUGGGGNNNNNNNNNNNNNNNNNNNNNNNNNNNNNNNNNNNNNNNNNNNNNNNNNNNNNNNNNNNNNNNNNNNNNNNNNNNNNNNNNNNNNNNNNNNNNNNNNNNNGGGGGGGGGGGGGGAAGAGGGUGAAUUGGGUGAUGGUCUCUUUUUGCAAAUUUAAACUAUGUGAAUGAAGAGACAAUUAUAUGCAAGUAUAUAAUAAGCAAUAUAAAUACAAUUUCAUAUAAAUUAAAAGAGUAGGGAAGAGAGAAUGCAAGCACAAGAGUUUAUAGUGGUUUGGCGCAACCCGGCCUACAUCCACUCUCCUCUAGCUUCAAUCCCAAGCUUGAGGUUUGAUUCGUUCCCAAUUGGUGUCUCAGCUGAUUCAUGUCCUCUCAAUGGUCCCUGACAAUGGUGCCAUUUGAUUCGUGUCCAGCUGGUGUCCCUUGAUUGUAGUCCUUAGAAGGGAGUAAUCAACAAAAUUUAUAACCUAUUACACCAUGUACUAGGAUAGCCUUAGCUAGCAUAGCAUAGUGGCUCUAGGGUCGUUCACUGGGAUGGGUUUUCACUUCACAAUUGAUAUUAAUUCAAAGAUGAAUUGGUGCCUUUUCAUUUCAAGGUUAGCUUUAAAAGAAAACAUAAUCUUUAGUGGAAAAGGUUGGUUUUAAGCUAACAAAAAAUAGUAACUAAUUUUAAUUACAAAGAAAAGUGUUUCUUGGAGUUUAGAUCACUAGGCUCAGGUUCCUUGUACAAAAAGGGAGUUCCGGUCACUUGUUUCUUUUCCUCGCAUUAGAGAAUUAACAUAUAGUUAAUUCUCUAACCGGUGUGGUAUAGAUGCUUCCCCUUAAUGGGUUCAAACACUAAAUCCCUCUCACUAAUGCAUCUUGUAAUGGCUCGUGCCUCUCACCUAACAUUUGCCAUUCAAGGUGAUCUUUAACCUUGGAUUUCCCUUCUCAAGCUCUCAAGAGAUAACUAAUGGAUGUCUCCUUGGAGUCCAAAAGCUUAUCAAGUGUUGGCAAUUCUAGAAAAUCCUACCUUCAAGUCACUUCCCAAAAGCUCGCAAGAGGUAAACUAGUGCAUCUCUAUGGACGGAGAUCACUUGCCUUACCAAGUGUUGGCUCAAGUGAUUUAAAGGUGUUUUAAGUUAACUAAAAAGAUAAAAACCAUUAACGGGUUACACUUUCUCUUCAUUAAAAACUAAAACAACAAAACUUCCAAUUUAUGCAUGAGGAAACUUACCUGGCUUUCUUCACUCCAAGAGACGAAGAGCCUAGCCUCUCAUCCUCUGAGGAAAAAUCCUCAGAGUUUGAUUGGCUAGAAAUAAAAAGAACGAGAAAGCAAAAGUAUGAAGAAGAAACAGAGCAAGUGCUCUGUUCUUCGAUUCCAUAUAUGAUAUGAUAUAUAUAUUUUUUCUAUAUAUCUCUUCUUUACAUUGGUUCAAAGAUAUAUAUAGAGAAGAUAUUUUCUAAGAAAUAUCCCAAUAAUAUCUUUGACUGAUUACAAGGAGAAAAUAGAAAUUUACACAAAAUAUCUUGAGAGAAAAAAUCUAACUUUAGUUGGUGGCAAAUAUCAGGAAGCUUCAGGAGAACAUCGCGGCACUGUGCAAAAUUCUGCCUUCAGCUUAGAGUGAUCUGGGUAAGCGCUAUGGAGGAUCCGAACAUGGCUGAGCUGGGAAGUUGAAACGUCCUCCUCUCCUAUCCGGCUAUGAGAUAUCCGGCGCGCCGCAAGGGGGACCGUCUGCAUGUGCAAGGUGUAGGGACCUCUCCCCCCUGAUGACACGGAGCGCGCAUUGCUAUCCGACGCAACUCCAUUUGGAUUCCCCAAGAGGACAUGCGCCGCCAUGCUAUCCGGAACAACUCCCUUAGGGAGAAGCACACGACACUCGUGAACAUCACACUCCGGGCGAUAGCAUAUCCUAUCCAGAUAUGUUGUCCGGAUGGAAAACAUUGACUAAGUGAGCGAGCCUUGCUACUUCAUUCCAAAAGCUUGCCACAACCCACGUUCCGCCGUUCUCCGAUGGUGUGUCCGGACGCCCUGUCUGGACAUCUUUUGCCAUGGAUUCCAAAGAACUCUCCUCAAUCUCUGAUUGCUUUGAUGAUCAAAAAGCUAUCAAAACACCAAAACUUAACAUAAUUUGAUUAGAAUUGAUUGCAUGGGUCUUUAAUAUGUUAAUUGGGUUAAAAUGUGAUAACUACUACUCAAAAGUGUUUAAAAGAGUUAAUUAUAAGCUAUGAAAUAACACUUUUUGAGUAGUAAUCAAGGUUCCACUAAUUCAAGGCGUCCAAACCAAGCCUUCAAGCAAUACAAUUGGAUUAUGGUUCCAAUUCACCCUCUUGGACUUUUGGCUCCAAGCACCCUUUACACUUCUCAAGAGAUACCACACUCUUGAGAAACUUCCUCUCAAAGGUUUACAAAUAAAUGAUCUCACAAAAUCCUAGCAUAAGAACUUUAAGCUCAAUUGAUACAUGAAAACUAGGAUUGAAGGGUGCACUAAGGAUAUCCAAGUUUUAGAACAAUGGUGCACUAAAAAACACUCUUCCAAGGCUCAAAUAUAAUUAAGAAAGAUUUGGGAAGGUUAAGCUCAUGAAACAAUGAAGAUUGGAGCCUUUUUAUAGAAGAAAAAAGUCAAACUAGCCGUUGGGGGUUCGACCGGUCGAGCUAGGGGUUGACCGGUUGACUAUCCAUUAGCAUUUAAUGCUUGAUAGGUAAUCGUUGGGCCUCAAUCGGACCUCAACCGGACCUCGACCGGACCUCAACCAGUUGAGGUUCAACCUUGACUGGUUGAACCACCCUUUUAGAAGAAAGAGAAAGUUUUUUUGCACCAUCAACCGGUUGAGUUGGGGGUCUACUCGGGCCUCGACCGGUUGAGUUGUGGGUCGACCCGGGCCUCGACCAGUUGAGCUGUGGGUCGACCCGGGCCUCGACCGGUUGAGCUGGGGAUCGACCAGGACCUCGACCGAUUGAGCUUGCGGUCGAUCGGUUCCUCAUCCGGUUCAACCGGUUGAGUCGUUUUUUGGCUCAACAACCAACCUUUUCAACUUAAAACCUUUUAAAACAAGUUUGAAAGACAUUUAACACAAGGUUUUAGUUGUAAACAUGAAAUCAUCCAAUUCUUAAAAUAUUUAAAAACAAAAUAACUCUUAGAUGAUUUUGGUGCAUAAGUAAAGAAUGUAAUGCAUGAAAAUCCUAGUGCACCAACAACCUUACAAAGAGAUCUUAUGAAGCUUGGGCCUUUGAAAAACACUUUUCUUUGAGGUGGUCUUCUUCUUCAUGAUUUCUCUUUAGCUUGAUUUGUCUUUGUGAUUGCCACUUUGGAAAUCAUCUUGCCUAAUCACACUUGAAAUAUGAUCAUUAGUUCUAAACCUUGUUUUGUUAUCAUCAAAAUCAAGAUUAACCAAACCUUGGUUUCACAAUCUCCCCCUUUUUGAUGAUGACAAAACCAAUGUUGCUAAAAAGCUCCCUCUCAAUAUAUGCUCAUUUGAAUUUAGAAAAUAUUCAAGUUUAGAAACUUCAAGGAGUAUAUUAAGGAUGCUCAAAAAGAUAUAAUCAAACAUAAAUAGCAUAAAGAGCAAUUUAGCAAUUUGGCAAGGCAUUAUUAUUAAAUAUGAUGCAUACAAAUAUAACCAAUAAAGCACAUAACAUCAAUAUGAAUAGAAUUGCUAAAACAAUAUUGAGAUUUCUUCCCAAGUUAGCAACUUACCAUUACUUCUCCCCCUUUUUGUCAUCAACAAAAAGUUUUAAUAAAGUACAUAAGGGGAAUCACAUGAUAUCAAAAAUAUAAUUCCUCAUGAAAAUGAAUCUCCCUCUUUUUCAUUUGAGAAUAGUUUCCAAAUAAAAGAUUGCUCAUCCUUAGAGCAUUCCCAAUUUAAAGCAUGAUUUGGAAAAAAAAUAUAUGGGAGAACAUAUGCAUUUAAAAAUAUAUAUAACAUGCAUUGAAUAACACUUUUAGGGCAUACAAGCAUAUGAUCAUUGAAUUUUACCUAGUUAUAAACAAAUCUUCUUUUUAAUCCAAACCUUGGUUUAACAAAUGUACCAAUAUUAUCAAAGUGAUACCAAAUGUUAUAUUAUUAAUAUACCAAAAAUAUACCAAGUGUUAGCAAAAUGAUAUUUCAAAUUAAGCUUUAGAGGGGAUACCAUUACCAAUAUUAUCAAUGCAUUCUUUCCAAGGUAAGCAUAUCCUCCUUCUUGCAUCGAUCCCUACAAAACAAAUUAACCUUUGGUACCCAUAUCUUUUUGGGUCCUAGAGGGUUAGUUUUUCUUCCAUUUGGAAUCCAAAAAUAAUUUAGAGUUUUGAAGAACAUGAGGGGAUUUCUUAAGGGACAAAUAUCACUAAUGUGACCUCAUUUUUCACAAAGAUUGCAAAUAGUUAAAGGGGAAAAACUAGAGGCUUCCUUUACAAAAUAUUUUAAAAAAAAUGAUUUUUGAAAAGCUUGUAGGCUAGCCUCUUUUUAUCAAAAAUGAAAACGCAUUUUUGAUCAUAUCAAAAGUCUUUUGGCCAUUUGAGAAUUUUUAACCCCUCAUUUUCCUUUUCAAAAGAGAUUUUUGUCUUCUCAAUGUUUUCAAAAUUUUCAUUAUGCUCAUUGAGCUCAUUUUGAAGACAAGAAUUCUUUUUCUUGAGAGAGAUAUUUUUAAAACCAAGUUUUUCAAGAUCUUGAAAUUCAAAAUGGUUAGAGUUGGAGUUUACCUCAUCUUGAUGUUCUUCCAAAGCCAUAAAGCACAUGUUGGCAUCCUCAUUUGUGCAUUCUUCUUUCAUGGAGUCUUCAUCACUUUCACUUUCACUUUCAUUCUCUUCCUCUUCAUCGUCAUUUAUUGAAGCCAUAAAAGCUAUACUUUUCUCAUUUUCUUCAACUCUUUGAUGAUUGUACAACUCUAUCUCAUAAGUCAUGAGUGACCAAAUGAGUUCUUCAAGUGAGAGCUUGGUGAGAUCCUUUGCUUCUUGAAUAGCCGUCACUUUUGUUUCCCUUUUCUUUGGUAGAGACCUUAAGAUCUUCAUGACUUUCUCUACUUCGGUGUAGGUCUUUCCCAAGGCUUCAAGUUCAUUCACAAUCACCAUGAACCUAGAAAACAUCUCAACAAUAGAUUCAAAAUCCUUUAUAGAAACUAAUUCAUAAUCAUGCACAAGGAUAUUGAUUCUAGACUCUUUAACUUGGUUGUUUCCCUCAUAAGUGAUUUCUAAUAGUCUCCAAAUUUCUUUAGCCAACUUACAUUGCCAAAUACGAUUAAAUUCAUUUCUAUCAAUAGCACAAUGUAAGAUAAAAACGGCUUUGGCAUUUAAUUGAACUUUCUUUCUAUCAAGUUCAUCCCAUUCAUGCUUAGGUUUUGGAACCAUCACUCCAUUUUCUAAUUUUGAAGGAAUGUGGGGACCAUCUUCAAUGACAUCCCAUAAAUCAAGAUUAAUAGAUUGGAGAAAACAAGUCAUUUUAGUUUUCCAAUAGGGAUAAUCGGUUCUCGUGAAAAGUGGAGGAUGGGUGGUUGAAAAACUUUCAAUGCGGGAUGAGCUUGAUGGAUUAGCCAUUACUUCUUAAACAGUUAAGUCUUAAAUAAGAAGCUUUGCUCUGAUACCAAUUAUUAGAAAUAUUUGGCUAAUCCAACCUAUGGUAAUCACCCUAGAAAAAAGGGGGGGGGUGAAUUGGGUGAUGGUCUCUUUUCGCAAAUUUAAACUAUGUGAAUGAAGAGACAAUUAUAUGCAAGUAUAUAAUAAGCAAUAUAAAUACAAUUGCAUAUAAAUUAAAAGAGUAGGGAAGAGAGAAGGCAAACACAAGAGUUUAUAGUGGUUCGGCGCAACCCGACCUACAUCCACUCUCUUCUAGCUUCAAUCCCAAGCUUGAGGUUCCACUAAUUCACCAAGCCUUCAAGCAAUACAAUUGGAUUAUGGUUCCAAUUCACCCUCUUGGACUUUUGGCUCCAAGCACCCUUUACACUUCUCAAGAGAUACCACACUUUUGAGAAACUUCAUCUCAAAGGUUUACAAAUAAAUGAUCUCACAAAAAUCCUAGUACAAGAACUUUAAGCUCAAUUGAUACAUGAAAACUAAGAUUGAAGGGUGCACUAAGGAUAUGCAAGUUUUAGAACAAUGGUGCACUCAAAAACACUCUUCUAAGGCUCAAAUACAAUUAAGACAAGUUUGGGAAGGUUAACCUCUUUGAACAAUGAAGAUUCGAGUUUUUUUAUAGAAGAGAAAAGCCAAACUAGCCGUUAGCAUUUAAUGCUUGGCAGGUGACCAUUGGGCCUCAACCGGACCUCAACCAGUUGAGGUUCAACCUUGACCGGUUGAACAACCGUUCUGGAAUAAAGAGAAAGUUUUUUAUACCCUUGACCGGUUGAGUUGGGGGUCUACCCGGGCCUCGACUGAUUGAGCUAUGGGUCGACCUAGACCUCGACCGAUUGAGUUGGGGGUUGACCCAGACCUCAACCGGUUGAGCUUGCGGUCGACCGAUUCCUCAUCCGGUUCAACCGAUUGAGCCAUUUUUUUGGCUUAACAACCAACUUUUUCAACUUAAAACCUUUUAAAAUAAGUUAGAAAAACAUUUAACACAAGGUUUUAGUUGAAAAACAUGAAAUCAUCCAAUUCUUAAAAUAUUUAAAACAAAAUAACUCUUGGAUGAUUUUGGUGCAUAAGUAAAGAAUGUAAUGCAUGAAAAUCCUAGUGCAUUAACAACCUUACAAAGAGAUCUUAUGAAGCUUGGGUCUUGAAAAACAUUUCUCUUUGAGGUGUUUUUCUUCUUCAUGAUUUCUCCUUGGCUUGAUUUGUCUUUGUGAUUGUCACUUUGAAAAUUGUCUUGCCUAAUCAAACUUGAAAUAUAAUCAUUAGUACUAAACCUUGUUUUGUUAUCAUCAAAAUCAAGAUUAACCAAACCUUGGUUUCACACGAUAUUUUCACGAUAUUUCGGCUAGUGCAUUGAUAUAGUGCUGCCACGUCAUCAUCUCCAUUUUUUCCCCCAAAACUUUUAUAAAUAUACCUAGACCCAAUUUGCAUUCUUCCCAACCCAAGGCGUGCCAGGCCCAAUCUUUCCAGCCCAACGCUAGCCCCACACACUUGUGAGCCCUCCACCACUCCAAUGUUUAAAUACACCUUUUGGUGUUAUGAAUCGUCGAUGUGGGACAACAAGAAUUAGAUUUUUUAAAAGGCUAGGGGAAAAUCCAAGAUAAUGGAACCAUGAGGAUUUGAACCCCUACCCUUAGGCUCACACUCAACACCAAUACCAAUUGACCAACCAUGUUAUUGUUAAUUAAAUGUAUAUAUUAUAUAUAUAUAAAACCCCCACCAACACUAGCGGCCAACCAUGCUUCAAUUGAUUAAUUAUAUAUAUAUAUAUAUAUAUAUAUAUUAUAAAUAAGUUAAUUUUGGUUAUUGUAACUUUUAUAUAAUAAUUACAUAUAAAAUAAAUAUAAUUUUUUGAAUGAAAUUAUCAAAAUUUUAAAAUAAAAAAUACUUAUACAAAUUAUCAUUAUUAUUUUUUUCAUUAAAUACAUCCAAAUUAGAUUAAUAUGUAUGAAGUAUGUUUUCAAGUUAUAAACAUUAUUANNNNNNNNNAAAUUAGACAUAUUAUAAUCAAAUAUCACAACAUUAUUAUGAAAUAAUAUUUUGAUGUAAUUUAAUAAUAAAUGUACACUUAUAAAAUUCAUAUUUUUAGUUGCAUAUGAUAUUAUUAUCAAAUAUGAUAAAUCAUACCAUACAUAUACCAAAUUCUUCAAACAACUUUAAAAUGUCUAUUAUACUUUUAAUUACAUUUCUAGGAGGUUUUUCUUACAUUUUUAUGAAUUUUGAUCAAUUUUAGGUCUAUUGAUAUUUUUUUUUCAAAAUAGCCGCCGAUAUAUCUUCAAUAUAUCCCUGAUUACCGAUAUUUUCAUCAUUGCUUACUACUUAAGACAAAUUAAGUGCCAAAAGUAUAAUAUCACGUAGGAUUAGAGUCAUAACUUGUUUGUAUAGGUGUCAAAUAUUAUUCUGGUUUUAAUUAAAUGUUAAAACUUGAAUACCACUAUGCAUUCAAGUCAAGCUAAUUUGCAUUGGUGAAGACUUUAGCACAUAAGUGUUGAAAAUACAACACCGCGUAACAUUAGAUCCAUAACUUGUUUACAUAGGUGUCAAAUAUUAUUAUGGUUUUAAUUAAAUGUUAAAACUCAAAUACCACUAUAUGUUCAAGUCAAACCAAUUUGCAUGGGUGAAGACUUUAGCACAUAACUGUUGAAAAUACAACACUGCUUCGCAUAAGGGCUACAACUUGAUUAUAUGAGGGUUAAAUUUUAAAUAUUCAUAAUUUUUUUAUGGAUAUUUAAGUUUACCAAAGAAAUCCCCCUUAAGUAUUAAGGUAAUUUUUUGAAAAAAUAAAAAAUAUUUGAAACCAAAUUCGUCUCUACAAACCAUGAAAGUCGAUGCACAUUUAGGAAUGAUGAGUUUUUUUCUUCUUUCUUAAAAUAAAUAAAUAAAUAAACGUAACGUAUCAUUUAUCUAUCUAUAUAUAUAUAUAUAUAUAUUUAUUUAUUAAAUGUCCCUGUCCAUCCACUUAUAUAUUAAAUCUCCAUCUACUCUCUAAGAUAUUAUAUAUAUACAUAUGCCAAUGAUGACAUCUCCCAAGGCAACCACCAUUGUGGCUCACGUAGCAUGCAACCACUGAAGCUCCAAUAUAUAUAUAUAACCACCAUUGUGAUAUAUAUAUAUAUAUAAUCACCAUUGUGGCUAAAUGCCCCACUAAAGCUCCCAUUGAUGAGUCCUCCAAGGCAACCACCAUUGUGGCUCAAUGCCCAACUAAAGCUUAUAUAUAUAACAUAAAAGAAAAAAAAAACUUACGGGUUUGGAAAGGUGAAGACUUCUCAUAGAGAAUUCAAGUCGAGUUUCUCAAAUUGGUUUGACGAACGUCCAAAGAUGGAAAGAGUUUUUCGAAAAAAAAGUUUAUAGUGGAAGAUGAUUCAAAGUAUAAAAUAAGAAAAAAAAAAAAAUGAAGUGGAGUUUGAAAAAAAAGUGGGAAGGAAAUAUUUAAAAAAUAGAAAACUUCCUAUUAAAACAUUUCUUAAAAAAAAAAAAAAGGAUUAAUUUUGAGACCCACCCCGUACACAUGACAAUUCAUGUACGUGAUGCGUCUUGGGACAUUUGUAGAUCUAAAAAAUUUAGUGGAUUAAAUUACCACUAAAUUUAGUCUUCCUAAAAAAAAAAAUUGUAAUUUUAUGGUUCAACAAAAUUUGGGCUCAUUGGACAUGUACAAAUUUGGAAGACUAUGAAAUUAGGUCUCCAAGUCAAAAGAGAAUUUUAAAAAAUAGAUAUCCUCUUAUAGAUAAAUUUUCUAAAAAGAGGGAAACUAAUCUCCAACUAUAAAAAUGAUAAUGAUAGUAAUGAUAAUAAUAAGAAAAAUAUAUUAUUAUUAUUAUUAUUAUUAUUAUUAUUAUUAUGAAGAAAAAGAAAAGUUGUUAAAAUCAAGAAACUAAAUCCCUUGAAUUAAGCAACUAAAAUUUAGGAAUUUAAAAAUUCAAUUCCAAUAAAAGGAAAUCAUAAAAACAAUAGAAGGGCUAAGGGCUACAUAUACUUUCUCAUACGGGAAAAGAGAUUUCAGAAAAAGAAAAGGAACUUUACCAAAACCCCCUACAAGUUUGGUAAACAAUAAAAGGGUUACAUACACUUUUUUUAUCAUUCAACAAGUUCAUUUGAAAAAAAGCCACUUCAAGCCCUCAAUCAAUCUUCAAAUCCAAUAAAACAAUUUCAUUAUCGUCCUUUAAGUUGUGGUUAAAAUGAAAGAAUAAAAGGAUAUAUUCUUUUAUAAAAUAAUAUUGCCAUAGAGAUUAUACUCCACAAUAUUUUUAUUUUAAUAAAAUCUCUAUUCACAUUAAUUUUCCUAUUGUUUUGCUAAUUUUACAGGGUUUUAACGAAAUUUGUGUGUUCAAGAAUAUCAUUCUUAAAUUAAUUAUACAAUAUUUAAUUUAUUUAAUAUAAAUUUAUAUUUUAAACUUGGGUUUGGGUUCACUUAUUUAAUUGAGUGCCUGAGUUUUGGAUUAUCACCCCUGACUGUAGGCACUCAACACAAAUCAAAACGUAUUAAACUAAACCAUCAUUCAUUUGAGAUAUUGAAGUUGGGGUUUUGAUAAUGGAUAUACUUCUGGACACUUUGUCUUAUUGCCAAUAGAAUUCAAUGAACAUGAAUGCACAACCUCAUGCCCCAAACCAAUACUGAAUAUGUCAAAAUCCCAUCUAGAAGAACAACUGUCUAGCUAUGCCCCAUUUUCCUCCACUCAACAUGGUGGUGGUGAAGCCAAUAAGUAAAAAAAGACUGCAUGUGACAACCCAACUCCUCACACCUAUAUAUAAUAAUACCAAUAAUAAACCCAUCUCAAGGAAAAAAAAUUAGGUGUUUUAAUAAAAUUUAGAAAACACUUUUAAAAAUCUACAAAAUCACUUAUAGUAUUUUCUGAAAAAAUAUUUGAUAGGUGCACUGGAAUAUCCCCAUAAAAUAUUAAAAUAGAAGAAAAAAAAACUACACUUCUUGCAAUAGUAGGACUCAAACCUAAGACUUUUAUUGCCCCUACCAAUGACAGCUCUGGACCAUUAGGUUAAAGCCUGUAUUUGUUUCAAAGGUUGCCCCUGAACUAAACUGCUUGUUCUGCCACUGGAUAUGUGAUUCUUUUAAAAAUACUUAUAAAAAAAUACUUUCAUUAAAAAACUGGAAUGUGUUUAACAAUGAUUUUUGAAAGUGUUUUUAACUUUUCUAAUACUUGAAAAAUAAAAAUUUUCAAGUUUUAAAAAGAGUAAAUACAUUUCCUAAAACCACUAUCUAACACACCCUUAAACCAGAAACAUCAUCCGAAUGCAUUCUAAUGACAGUGGCAUUCACUUGUACAGGUAUAGCAACAAAGGCUUCAUAGGGAAACUUGACACGCGCCCUGGGAUUUUAUAUCGCAAUGGGGAUAAUGUAACGAUCGAAACGGAACGGUUUAAUGAAGAAUUAGGCAAGCUGAUGGAGAAGAUCGGAUCGCAGGCUGUUGAACCCCGGAACGAAGGGCUGGGUAAAGGCCAGACAAAGCUCUCACCCUUCGUCACACUCUACGCCUUGGCGCAAUGCACACGGGAUCUGUCGGCACUGUCCUGCGCCCAAUGCCUGUCCAUUGCUGUUGGCAAUUUCCCCAACUUCUGCAACAACAGGAAGGGUUGCCGCGUUUUGUAUAGCAGUUGUUAUACUCGCUACGAGCUCUAUCCAAUCUUCUUCCCUCUCGGCUCUACCCAAAGGUUUUCUAAUACUCAGAUGAUGAUGGUUUAUCCAUAGAUUUAGGCCAUGCCAACAUCAGCGGUUCUGCAUGCCUAGAAAAAGGAUAUAUGCAGAACUUUUAUCCUAUUUUGUUGCUUUGGAUUUUCUCUUUUUAAGCCUUUAAUGCUAUAAGCUUGGUUUCUAAAUACAAAAUAGUAUCUGCACCAAAUUGAUAAUCAAUCAAGUCUGAAUUUUUUAUUUUUUUUUGUCAAACUUUUAAUUUUGUUGGGUUACAAAUACACAUUAAUUGAUAGAGAUAAUUUCAACUUAAGAUGCAUUAAAGGGCAAGUUAUUUAGUCAAAUUCCAACUCCACUAAAAUUCAGUGAUAAUAAUGAAUAAAAUACUAUAUUAAUAAGAUAAAAGAUAAGGAUUAGAAAAGCUAGAUCGAGGUAGGCGGGUGGACUCUCCUAAGAGAAAAUAUACCUUUUUUUUGUAUAAAGUUGAUCGGCAUUCUUCUCCCAAGAAUUAAUGAUCUUUAAGAGUCAAAUUAUUGUAGAAAAUUUAAUUUCAUGAACCAAGUAUUCACUCUCGCUCAACAAAACAUAAAAAGGAGAAGUGUUAUCAUAACAGAAUUCUUCUUCUCAUUUAACUCAGAUAAUUUGCAUUUUCCAAAAUAUAAUUUUUCAAUUUUUUUUAGUGUAUAAAAAAUGGAAGAAAAGUGGAGAGGUGGUUCUAUUACAUCGGAACUCCAUAUUCUCCUAAAAAAACUUACCCACUCACAAAAAAUAAAAAUAAAAAUAAAAAUAAAAAUUGAAAAACGGUUUAAUUGGAGCUGCUUAGUUAAUUGAACAAAAAAGAAGCAUGGUUUUGUCCAGAAUACAAUGCACUUUUGUCCAUAACUGCAAGAACUGCAUUAGGAGGUACAUGUGGAGGCUAAUUGCCUUAAUUCUGGGCAUCUCCUUUCCAAGGGAAAAAACGGAGGAAAAUUUAAACACGAAUUCUUGGCUAAUUGUAGGCUAGCCUUCUAUCCCAUAGAAACCAUGUUGUGUGUAUGACCCUAGUUGCCAUUGGAAGCCUUUAAUUUUUCAAAUUAGAGCCUAAGUGUGCUUAAUUGGAGCUGCUGGGCAUGGGCAUAUAUAUAUAUAUAUAUAUAUAUAUAUAUAUUUAAAAAUGUAGUGGUGCAUGUAAAUGACAGGUGGUGAAUUCUGUAGUAAUGUUGUUAAAGACAAUUCAAGAUAAAAAUGAAUCCACAUGCUUGUAUCUUAGAUUGGCUUUUAUUUUAUUGACACUUGAAGUAGAAAUUUUUGUGCAUUUUUCGUUGUGCCUCAGUCUCCCCCUUUUUUCAUUUUAGGGUGUUCUAGUUUUUCUUGCUGCAAAGUCGGGAUUCAUAAAGGAUGCAGAAGAAGCUGCUGAAUUCCAGAACUUCAUAAUAUGCGUUGAGAUGCUCAUUGCAGCCCUGAGUCAUCUCUAUGCAUUUCCCUACAAAGAGUAUGCUGGUGCAAAAUAUUGGAGGUUCUCGUGGUUUCCCUGGAAGCCUUGCCCAUGCGAUAAAAUUGAAUGACUUCUACCGUGACAUGGUUCACCAGGUGAAUCUUGCAUUAUGUGCCAAUUUCUUACUGAAAACUAUUGUUUUGGACAUGAAUCCUGUGCUGAUGAUGAUGGUGACUGUCGCGUUUUGUUCUUGCAGUUUGCACCAACUUAUCAUGACUAUGUACUCUACAACCAUAACGAGGGUGAUGAAGGAAGAAGGAAGUUCAGGUCGCGCACUUUUGUGCCAACUGACCCUGAGAUGGACGCGGUAAGGAAAAACAAGCAUAUGCUUGGAAACAAGCUGGAUGACAUACAACUCUCCAGCGUCUCGUCUUCUGGUACAAGCAAUCCCAAACAGUCCAGUACAGCGCAAGAUUCCCAAAACCCAGAGACCAUCAAAUCUUCCCUGCUACCCUCCAAUUCUUACAACGUGCCGUACGACAUGUCUCUCAUCGACAUUGACUUGUCCAGCUACCCUUCAAAGGUUCCUGCAGCAAAUGCAGGCUCUUUCUCCCUCAAUUGUCCAGUCGAUUAGGGUUUUUCUACAAAUGGGCAAAUGGGGUUCCCUCACCCCCCAACACAAGUGGAAGAAAAGAGAGAAAGUUGUGUCAUGUUGUGUUGGCAUCUGCACUGUGUCUCAUUCUUUGAAGAUCACCUUAUCAAAUAUGG
rnacentral:lncRNA from 1 species